GUUCUCUAAACUGAAAGUACUUCUGCACUGUGCUUCUCAGGUGUUUCAGUGUCAUGAUUAUUUGAUCAGCUUGAUAUUGCUUGUUUGUGUCAAGGAGGGUGUGUGGCUGUGGAGUGAUGGUUCCAAGUGGGACUUCAAAGCCUGGGCUGCAGGGGAACCCAACAACGCUGGCGGAAAUGAAAACUGUAUGCACAUUAACUUUGCAGGUACAAAUGGAUCUGUUGUCCACUUGUUUGGGAUUUUUUUUAAAAUUCAAGAUGGAAAAUUAUUGUUUAUAACUGAUGUGGUGUAACCUACAUUACAUUGUAAACUGUAUUUUGUGUAAUUUACAUUAUUGUAUUAUAUUUUCUUUUUGGGUUGUUUCCAUUCUUUGUUUCUUUAAUUUGAACUUCUGAAUCAUUACCCGUGUUUUGGAGAGUGCUAUAUGAAGUUUUACUUUCUUAAAGUUAGUAAGUAGUUGAAUAUUUAAUGCAAAACCUUGCGUGUGGAAUAAAGUUACAUACACGUUUUCUGAA